UCCAUAUCAAUUCACACACCCUCCCCAGGUGACCCUCUUCGAUUUGCCUGAUAUUCGACACACAGGUACCUUUUGAUGCCAAUGGAAAGAAUCCCAAGUUUUAGCAUCCUACGUCUAACGGUUUUGGAGAUGAGGCCCUCCAAAGUUUGGGUGCCACGCCCACUUUUCAAGCCUGUGAAUUGCAUACAGAAUUUACAAGCAUAUUUGGACACCUCUAGUUUUAGAUUGAAAGAAGAUACAGGCCUAAAAAUCGCCAUGUCCCCUCAGCAUGACCUUGUCUAUCAGAUGGUGUACUUAAGAAUAGCAUAGCUUGACUAUUUCUGCAUAUAUUAAGCCUUGAAAACUGUAAGUGUGAAAAGGGUGAUGAAGAGUCUUGACAUUUUGGGGUUCCAGAUCUUGGAAACUAUGAAUGCUGUGGGAGGAAUCAUUGAUUUUCCAUCAUAUUUGGUAACUGUACUGUGUAUUCAAAAAAGUGUGCGGACACUCGGACCUUAAAUGACAGAAUAGGAGGUACACAAAAAUGGCUUUGGGAGAAAAUGACCCUACGGUACCCCCUACUUCAUGCUCCAAUUUAACCAUGUGGGCACUUGAUGAGUGGAAUGCCCUUUUAACCCCAUGCACAGUAACACUGUAUCAAACAUUCAAGCUUUGAAGAACUUCGUUUUUCAGAGUUCUUCAUACUAAUUUAGGCCUUCGAAAUAUGGGGAAAUUUGUCCCUUUUUCAUCACAGUAUCUGGGUUUCUGCUGCCAUCUGCUGGUCAAAAAAGUAACAACAGCAUAAAUUAUGAAAACACCCAGGAGGAAGUCACAAGAAAACAAAUUUUUUAUUCACCCAUAAACCAUUUUCACACGCAGAAAGUAUGUUAACUGUUUAACCACAUACUCAUGACAAAAUUGAGGUUAUUGAAAGAUGGGUGUGAGUGUGGAGUGGAAGUGUCUGGUAGAGAUGUAGUGCAGGGCUGAGGCCGUCUUGGGACAGUCACCAUCUUCUCAAUGUGCGACCAUCAUUGAGCACCUCAGUCCUCUGAUGUGUUUGGCUGAGCUGGAUGGCAGGCUGGCUGCAGUCAGGGGAGAGAGGACAAACGAUCAGGUGUGGGUCCAGAGCCAGAAGAGUGGAGUGAUGAGGCACGGCCUCCAGUGCUGGUUUCAGCAGGAGGAGGCAUCCAGGGCCGGGGGUGGAGUGGAGUAUUGAGGAGUGAAUAUGUGCCGUAUAAGUCUAUCCUUGAAUAUUCAUCCAUCUGGUAGAACUUCAUGACACGUUCUCUAACUUCAGCUGACAGUGGUUUUCCCUUGUUCACAUGCGGCUCACCAAGUAUUCCCUGUUGUUCUCUAACAGUCUUUGCUUUCCUCACCAUAUGAGUAGUGACAGAAAAUUCUUUAGCUACCUUUCUGAUACUCCAUGUAGCUGGGAGAAGU